rnacentral:rRNA from 1 species
AAUAGAUACCCGGGUAGUCCACGCCGUAAACGGUGGGCGCUAGGUGUGGGUUUCCUUCCACGGGAUCCGUGCCGUAGCUAACGCAUUAAGCGCCCCGCCUGGGGAGUACGGCCGCAAGGCUAAAACUCAAAGGAAUUGACGGGGGGCCCGCACAAGCGGCGGAGCAUGUGGAUUAAUUCGAUGCAACGCGAAGAACCUUACCUGGGUUUGACAUAUACCGGAUCGCCUCAGAGAUGGGGUUUCCCUUGUGGUCGGUAUACAGGUGGUGCAUGGCUGUCGUCAGUUCGUGUCGUGAGAUGUUGGGUUAAGUCCCGCAACGAGCGCAACCCUUGUCCUGUGUUGCCAGCAAUUCGGUUGGGGACUCGCAGGAGACUGCCGGGGUCAACUCGGAGGAAGGUGGGGACGACGUCAAGUCAUCAUGCCCCUUAUGUCCAGGGGCUUCACACAUGCUACAAUGGCCGGUACAGAGGGCUGCGAUACCGUGAGGUGGAGCGAAUCCCUUAAAGCCGGUCUCAGUUCGGAUCGGGGUCUGCAACUCGACCCCGUGAA